UCCCUCGAUCUCAGAUCGCAUCGAGCUCCCCCUCUCCCUCCCCUAUCCCUCCCACCUCUCGAAGCUCCCCCUCUCACGACAUCCGAGCGGCAGGGGUGUCCCCGGCGCCGUCGAACCCGGCCAUGGCCCGCCCCCACGCCCCAGCCUUGUGGAAUCGAGGCCCCUCCAUUCGCGACCUCCUUAUCCCUCCACGGCCAUGGCCUUGGCCUCCCUUCCCCGACCGCCAAGACGCCGGUCAUCGACAGGAAGGCCGGCAACUAACCGUGUGCCGGCCACCGGGCCGAUCUAGGGUUCCGGCGAGCUUGCCCGCUCGCCCGCCCGCUCGAGGGGGCCGCGUCAGGGGCUCACUCCCGGGCCGCGCCCUCCCCUCCCUGCUCCCCUCGGGGAACCCGCCACCCUCCACCCUCCCCGGUGAGCUCAGUUCAGGACCCCCGCCCCCUACCUUGCUCGCCGCUCCCUGCCAGUUCCGCGGGUUGAGGGGAUCCCUUCGCUUCCCUGGCCACAACACAGAGCUCACUUUAUGGAGCUCUUUUGGUUUGUUUCUUAAUUUGGAAGUGGGGAAUACGUACGCGAUCCUGAAUGUUGCCUGCCGCUUUGUUGCAUACAUAGAUUGUGCCUUUCCGGGGGAGAUGCUUAGAUUGUUUAGCUUGCUGGUAGGUUGAAUCAUGGCUUGGAGCUAGCUGCAGGUCAACGGUUGGGAGGCACCAAACGGAGGUGUUUGUGCAAGGGCAGGACAAGGUGUACAAGGACGUGAUCGACCCCGCCGUCCGCGAGUGGACCUCAAGACUGUUGUGUACCACGCCAAUGACGUCCUCGACGACUUCCGCUAUGAGGUGUUGCACCACCGUGCAACCUAGAUCUGCCGCCGCUGCUCCACUGCUCGCAAGGUGGCAGGCUUGUAUGGCAUCAUGAGCAGGAGGGCCAUGAGGGGUUUGCUGCUCUGCUCCUAGGGCGAACAAGAGGUCCUGCCCCGAGCUCAAGCAUGUCCACGCCAACCCACCACGACAGUUGCAUGUUUUUUUGGCGGUCUAGAUGACCAAGCCCAAGGAGGAAGCAGCUUCUCAUCACUGAGGACAAGUAACUCCAGCAGGUUGACGCCGUAGAUUCUCAAUGUACCUUCUAUAUGCCCAUCCAGUUCUGUGAUUUGUCUCUUGAAACCUAGAAAACCCCAUGCCCAUGUGGGAGCUGAACCAUAGUUUUUUGCUUGUGGAAAAUAAUAUCCUUGGCUGAAUCGACUUGAGGUAGUUUCUUCGAAAUUCUUGGAAAUGCUUUGGUAGUUUCUUUCGGUGAGAAACUGUUUCAUACUGAAGUUUACUGGUACAUGUGUGGUUUGCUACUAUUGCUUCGUUUGGGUUGGGUUGGUUCCAGUGGGGAGAUGUGCACGCACACUGGCAACAUGAGCUAGCAGCCAUGAUUGCCAGCCAGCCCCCACCAUGUAAA